rnacentral:rRNA from 1 species
UACGAAGGGUGCAAGCGUUACUCGGAAUUACUGGGCGUAAAGCGUGCGUAGGUGGUUUGUUAAGUCUGAUGUGAAAGCCCUGGGCUCAACCUGGGAAUGGCAUUGGAUACUGGCGAGCUAGAGUGCGGUAGAGGGUAGUGGAAUUUCCGGUGUAGCGGUGAAAUGCGUAGAUAUCGGAAGGAACACCAAUGGCGAAGGCAGCCGCCUGGGCCUGAUCUGACACUGAGACACGAAAGCGUGGGGAUCAAACAGG